UAGCCGUUUUACGGUAAUUGCCUUUUAAGCAGGGUGUCCGGGGUUCGAAUCCCCGCUGGAGCACCA
rnacentral:tRNA from 1 species